rnacentral:rRNA from 1 species
GAUCAUGGCUCAGGAUGAACGCUGGCGGCGUGCCUAACACAUGCAAGUCGAACGGAGUCGUUUUGGAAAUCUCUUCGGAGAUGGAAUUCUCGACUUAGUGGCGGACGGGUGAGUAACGCGUGAGCAAUCUGCCUUUAAGAGGGGGAUAACAGUCGGAAACGGCUGCUAAUACCGCAUAAAGCAUCAAAUUCGCAUGUUUUUGAUGCCAAAGGAGCAAUCCGCUUUUAGGUGAGCUCGCG